UCCGAGGCAAUACCAAACAGUACAUAGUACAUACAUCGAUGGUUGCAUUUGGAAUCUGGCAAAUGUGGGAAAAGAAGGCAUCAAAUUCUUGGCACUGAAACCAACUAGUACAACCAAGUGGUUGUCCCCGACUAAACUCUCGGGACUCACAAGCAGUAGCGCUUAAUCGAAAUGGGGGAAUUUUCAGUCGUAGGAGCAGCAGGAGGUCUUGUCAACACAAUUUUCUCGUGCAAUCAUCAUCCUCAGGCUCAGCCAAAUCAGCUGGCGGUCUCGUCGUCGUCUUCGAAGAGCAAGAGGAAGACAACGACAAUACUCCCUUGUUAUCCUCAGAUUUUAAAGUCCAAGCAUACAUCAAGAAUAAUAUCAUCAUCGGCAUCUAUUUUAUCGUCCUCUUCUUCUGAUUUAAUUGCUUUUGAUGAGAGAACAAGUCCACUCCAGGUGAACAAGGAAAUACAAAGAUGCUAUCAACUCAUAAACAGACUUGGCAGGGGUGUUGUCUAUCUAGGAUCCUCACGAUUGGGAGAUGACCACCCACAUUACAACCAAUCACUAGAAUUAGCAAGAGAGGUCGCGAACCUUUUGGACUGUACAUCGUGGUCAGGGGUCGGCCCAGGCCUAAUGGAUGCUGUCACCCAGGGUGCCUUAGAAGCAGGAAAGGCUGUUGGUGGGUUUAAGAUAGCUAAAGAAGCCGGUGAAUGGACUGCCACAAAUUAUCAUCCCUAUCUCCCUUCUGACACUUACCUUACAUGCAGAUUCUUUUCCGCAAGAAAGCAUGGACUUGUGGAUGCUGCAGUCAGGGCUAGUAACUCUGACAGGACUGCGGUAAUUGGCCUCCCUGGAGGGAUAGGGACUCUAGAUGAGAUUUUUGAGAUUUUAACAUUAAUUCAACUGGAAAGGAUAGGAUCAGUACAUCCAGUCCCCUUCAUAUUGAUGAACUACGACUCUUUCUAUUCCAAGCUGCUAGAGUUUUUGGAUCAGUGCAAGGACGAAGGAACUGUCGGGGAAGGAGAGGUUCAGUCCUUGUGGAAAACUUUUGCUUAAAUACCUAUAUUCUGCACGGAGCCUCAAGUUAAGUUGAGAAAUUCCUGCGGAGGCUGACCUUCAGAGAUUAUUUUCAGUGCCUUGGCUUUAGAUUGCGGGAACUGUAUCCAGUUGGUAAAGUCUCAGCAUUUCUUUCAAAAUUUCAGGGAAGCAAAAGGAUUGAUCACUGAAUUAGGAAUACAAUGAGACAUUGAUAUUGUAUUAGGAAAACGAUCACUGAAUUAAAAACCCCAGUUUGUCAGGUUCUGCUGAGUUAGGCUUUCUGCCUUCCUGUUUUACGUUGUAGUUAUAUAUUGAUCAAACUCUCAAGAGCGAAACUUAACCUGACAUGUAAACCAGAUUCGUCUGUUGUAAUCACUGGCUCCCUGCAAGUUUUUUUAACUUUAAAAACA